rnacentral:misc_RNA from 1 species
UCCGGUUUGUCACCGGCAGUCUCCCUAGAGUUCCCGGCCGAACCGCUGGCAACUAGGGACAAGGGUUGCGCUCGUUACGGGACUUAACCCAACAUCUCACGGCACGAGCUGACGACAGCCAUGCACCACCUGUGCACAGGCCCCGAAGGGCUGCCGUGUUUCCACGACAUUCCUGUGCAUGUCAAACCCAGGUAAGGUUCUUCGCGUUGCAUCGAAUUAAUCAGCAUGCUCCGCCGCUUGUGCGGGCCCCCGUCAAUUCCUUUGAGUUUUAGCCUUGCGGCCGUACUCCCCAGGCGGGGCGCUUAAUGCGUUAGCUGCGGCACGGAGACCUUGGAAGGUCCCCACACCUAGCGCCCAACGUUUACGGUGUGGACUAC